GUCGGGAUAGCUCAGCGGGUAGAGCAGAGGACUGAAAA
rnacentral:tRNA from 1 species